rnacentral:rRNA from 1 species
ACCGGGAUUGCCUUAGUAACGGCGAGUGAAGCGGCAAAAGCUCAAAUUUGAAAUCUGGUACCUUCGGUGCCCGAGUUGUAAUUUGGAGAGGGCAACUUUGGGGCCGUUCCUUGUCUAUGUUCCUUGGAACAGGACGUCAUAGAGGGUGAGAAUCCCGUGUGGCGAGGAGUGCGGUUCUUUGUAAAGUGCCUUCGAAGAGUCGAGUUGUUUGGGAAUGCAGCUCUAAGUGGGUGGUAAAUUCCAUCUAAAGCUAAAUAUUGGCGAGAGACCGAUAGCGAACAAGUACAGUGAUGGAAAGAUGAAAAGAACUUUGAAAAGAGAGUGAAAAAGUACGUGAAAUUGUUGAAAGGGAAGGGCAUUUGAUCAGACAUGGUGUUUUGUGCCCUCUGCUCCUUGUGGGUAGGGGAAUCUCGCAUUUCACUGGGCCAGCAUCAGUUUUGGUGGCAGGAUAAAUCCAUAGGAAUGUAGCUUGCCUCGGUAAGUAUUAUAGCCUGUGGGAAUACUGCCAGCUGGGACUGAGGACUGCGACGUAAGUCAAGGAUGCUGGCAUAAUGGUUAUAUGCCGCCCGUCUUGAAACACGGACCUCCUGUGUGAAGUGAUCCGCUA